ACAUCUAGCGGCUCCAUGUCACAAUCACACAUAAACAGACUCACACAGUGCAAAUAAUCUUCUUACUGAUCACAAGGUUCCAUGUUGAAACAGAGCAAAGUUCACACCGUCACCUCUGCUGGGUUUUCCUCCAAUCAGAGACGUCGUUGGUCGUUUCUCUCUGUUGAAUCGCAGCCUGAAUGAUCCGUCAUGACCCACUGACACUGAUUUAAUUUAUCCUUUUGGGCUCUUAAAGUUCUGUGACCGCCGUCUCUGAAGCUUCGUCUUUGACCUCCACUUGGAUUCAGACUCCAGGAGGGUGUUUAACCUCAGAGAGGACGACUGUCAGGACGAUUCUGCUGCAGCUGCUGAUCACAUCUGGCAGCCGUCUGCAUGUCGUUUCAACUCACCGUCACUGACAUCAGAGGAACCUGUUCUUGAUGGGUUUAAGUCAAGACUUUUCUAGAAGCAGGAUGGAAAUUCUGAGUGGACCUUUGGCAGAUCUGGCUCUGUUCCUGCGACAAACCAUCACAUCAUCAGACGGACAGCAGGACAGUUUACUUCCUGUUGGGCUGUUUGGUCUGCUGUUUCUGUCCGUCUGCCUUCUGCUGCUGCAGCUGAUCAUCUACUUCAGCUGGAGACUCGCACAGGCUGAAUCUGAUCUGUCCGAGCAUCAACAGCACAGAAACCCCAUCUACAGGCCGCCGAGCAGAAGCACUCGGCUGAGGAGGAUGAGGAGCGUCGGAGUUCAUUCAGGCUCCUGAAGGGACAAAGACUUGAACUUCAAGACCAGAAGAAGCUGCAGAGAAAGCAGCCGCUGCGUCCUGAACACCGAGAUCCAUAAAAACUCCAUCAGUCAGGAUUCAUGACGCGAUCGGAAAGAAAAACCUGAACUGUGACUGAAGCUGUGAAAACAUCUGGAUGUUGAACGUUUCGGAUUCUUUGGGGAAUCUGGAUAAAACAUCUGCUGCUGAUGCGUUUUCAACAUCUGGAUGAAUCAAAGCAUCUUUUACUGAUGUAUUUAUUUCUGCCUAAGCUGGAGAAUUCAUGUUUUUAUGUUGUUUUACACAAUAAAAUACAGAGAUUAAAACAA